GAUCCUGGCUUAGGAUGAACGCUGGCGGCGUGCUUAACACAUGCAAGUCGAACGGAGUUUAGAUGAAAGCUUGCUUUGACUAAACUUAGUGGCGGACGGGUGAGUAACGCGUGGGUAACCUGCCUUAUACAGGGGGAUAACAGUCGGAAACGACUGCUAAUACCGCAUAAGCGCACGGAAUCGCAUGAUUCAGUGUGAAAAGAUUUAUCGGUAUAAGAUGGACCCGCGUCUGAUUAGCUAGUUGGUGAGGUAACGGCCCACCAAGGCGACGAUCAGUAGCCGGCCUGAGAGGGUGAACGGCCACAUUGGGACUGAGACACGGCCCAAACUCCUACGGGAGGCAGCAGUGGGGAAUAUUGCACAAUGGGGAAACCCUGAUGCAAGCGACGCCGCGUGAGUGAAGAAGUAUUUCGGUAUGUAAAGCUCUAUCAGCAGGGAAGAAAAUGACGGUACCUGACUAAGAAGCCCCGGCUAACUACGUGCCAGCCGCUGC
rnacentral:rRNA from 1 species